rnacentral:rRNA from 1 species
GAGUUUGAUCCUGGCUCAGAACGAACGCUGGCGCCGCGCCUAAUACAUGCAAGUCGAGCAUCUCGAGAAGACGUAGCAAUACGUUUGUAAAGCGGGGAACGGGUGAGGAAUACAUGGGUAACCUACCCUCGAGUGGGGAAUAACUAGCCGAAAGGUUAGCUAAUACCGCAUACGACUCCUGGUCUGCGGAUCGGGAGAGAAAGCGAUACCGUGGGUAUCUCGCUCUUGGAUGGGCUCAUGUCCUAUCAGCUUGUUGGUGAGGUAACGGCUCACCAAAGGCUUUGUCGGUCUGAGAGGACGAUCAGCCACACUGGCACUGCGACACGGGCCAGACUCCUACGGGAGGCAGCAGUAAGGAAUAUUGCGCAAUGGGCGACAGCCUGACGCAGCUACGCCGCGUGGGGGAUGAAGGUCUUCGGAUUGUAAACCCCUUUCGGCAGGGAAGAUGGAACGGGUAACCGUUCGCAACCUACCUGCAGAAGCAGCCACUCUCAACUUCGUGCCAGCAGCCGCGGUAAUACGAAGGUGGCAAGCGUUGUUCGGAUAUACUGGGCGUAGACGUCAAGUCACAGGGAGCGUAGGCGGUUGGGUAAGCCCUCCGUGAACGGGCCUAACCCGGAAAGUGCGGAGGGGACUGCUCGGCUAGAGGAUGGGAGAGGAGCGCGGAAUUCCCGGUGUAGCGGUGAAAUGCGUAGAGAUCGGGAGGAAGGCCGGUGGCGAAGGCGGCGCUCUGGAACAUUUCUGACGCUGAGGCUCGAAAGCGUGGGGAGCAAAGGGCAUUAGAUACCCUGGUAGUCCACAAGCCUUAAACGAUGGACAUUAAGUGUCGCCCGGUUACCGCCGGUGCCGCAGCUAACGCAUUAAGUAUCCCGCCUGGGAAGUACGGCCGCAAGGUUGAAACUCAAGGAAUUGACGGGGGCCCGCACAAGCGGUCCGUAGCUGGAGCAUGUGGUUUAAUUCGACGCAACGCGAAGAACCUUACCCAGGCUGGACAUGCAGGUAGUAGAAGGGUGAAAGCCUAACGAGGUAGCAACACCAUCCUGCUCAGGUGCUGCAUGGCUGUCGUCCUCUCGUGCCGUGAGGUGUUGGGUUAAGUCCCGCAACGAGCGCAACCCCUGUCUUUCAGUUACCAACGGGUCAUGCCGGGAACUCUGGAGAGACUGCCCAGGAGAACGGGGAGGAAGGUGGGGAUGCAUGGCCUUUAUGCCUGGGGCCACACACGUGCUACAAUGGCCGGUACAAAGCGCUGCAAACCCGUAAGGGGGAGCCAAUCGCAAAACCGGCCUCAGUUCAGAUUGAGGUCUGCAACUCGACCUCAUGAAGGCGGAAUCGCUAGUAAUCCCGGAUCAGCACGCCGGGGUGAAUACGUACCCGGGCCUUGUACACACCGCCCGUCACACCACGAAAGUUUGUUGUACCUGAAGUCGUUGGCGCCAACCGCAAGGGCAGACGCCCACGCGCUGACCGAUGAUUGCGGUGAAGUCGUAACAAGGUAACCGUAAUC